CAAAAAAAUACCUAUACCAAAUGGUCUUGUCCAUAAUGGGUAUAUUUUCUUCUUUGGCAUUAGCAGUACUGACAGUCCGUCUGCAGAUGGUCUACUGCUCCAAGAUGGUCUAUGAUUAAUUCUCCUACAAACUUUAUUGAAUGAUAGCAAGCCUAAUUCAUUGCAAUGUUGUUGCAACCUUAUGGUAGCUCUGUGGCAUCUUCCCACAAUUAUUAUUCCUUGGAAAGGGGAUUCUUAGGCUACUGGUCUUUUGUCAGAACGAUCCCCUUUUUUGGCGGCUGUCACAAGGCCCAUAACCUUUGCCAGUGAAUGAGUCACAAAAAGAUGAAGCAGAACCUGAUCUUCCUGUCUCUGCAUCUAUAUGAGGUAUACACUGUGAUAAGCUGUUUAAAAAAAACUGACAGCAGCUGACACCACUUUUAACAGAAGUCCUGUCAUCAUUAACAGUACUGAGACAGAAUUGGUAUUAGCAAUACUGAGACAGCUCUGCAAGAUAUUCUUUUUGCACACUGAAUCCAAAUUAAGCAUUAAACUUUUGAAAAUCGACAUUUCUUGCGCUUUGAAGCAUUGCUAGGUGACCCACAUUUUACAGCAUUUAUCCAUUUUCUUACAGAUGCAGACUUGCUACCUCUUGAAGUACAGAAAAAAACCCUACUUCCUGCUUGCUUUUUAGAUCAAGUCAAUUAUUUGUAUACAAAACCACGUCCUUUCUUGUCAAGUGUCUCCAGGAACUGUUUUUCUCUGUCCAUCACUUCCAUAUUUUUGUAACUAUUUUAACAGAAAUCUCUUCAAGUAAAUACACAGCUUUGAAAAGUGAUUAAAAUUUGCAUUUUGAUCACAGUUUGUCCCAUUACUUUGAACACAGAAAAAUACUUGCCCUAUAUUGUAAUAUAGUUGAGGUACAUAGAUAUAUAUCCUUUUCCUAGCAAAAUAAAACCCAUUAUCAUUACUAUGAUUUGGAUUCUAGCAUUGUUUUGAAUAGUUGCAUCUACAAAUACAUAUUUGCAACAGCAAACACUUUCAAUUGAUGUUGGAUAAUGCAACUAUAGCAAUGAAGGGGUUAUGUUAUUUUUAAACCUGUUUGGUUGAAACCAAUUUCAUUUGACCUAAUUUCUAACAGAAAAUCCAUAAAAGCUGCCCUAAUCAGUGAUUCUCAAUAGUGGUACAUAUAGGUACAUAUGUGGGCAAGAUAGGAGGUAAGAUGCAGGUUACAAUAAGGCAACUACAGAUAGGAAGUUAUGUCUUAAGAAGUGUCACAACAAUGACAUUAAGAAAGAGCAGAUACAAUAUAUUUGUGAAAUUCUGGAGAGGGUAAGGUAUGAAGUUGCCUUCAAGCUAUGGAUUGAGGUUGAUCAGCUACAAUAUCUUGUUAUCAACAGCAAGUAAACCCAUAGAAAAUACAAUAGUGAGAGAAGGGAAAAAUGGAAGACGAAAGAAAUGCAUUCCUUAAGAUGAGAAGUCAGUGGUAUUUUUUAGGAAUGUUUCCCUCAUUCCCCUUAAUAUCGAACUAAAUAAAUAAAACCUCAGGAGCAAUUCUUCAAUGCAGUUUGCAGUUUUCUGAUGAAAAAGGCUUUCAGGCUUCAUAUAGCAGCUAAUCUUCCACUUUUCCUUUUUUCUGCUAAUUUUUUUUAACCCAGAAACAAAUCUGGACAUCUCCUUAAUUACUUUGACACUUAGGCCAAAAUACAGAUUUAGAUUUCUUUCUCCCGUGUGCGUGUGUAUGCACACACAGUAACCGAUUUUAGACACGAUGCUUUUAAGCAUCUGCCUUUGAGCGCUUUUGGCCUUUGAUGAAUAGAGCCGAGAAAGCAAUUUAGCCUCGGCAGUUUUACGCAGACAUAGGUGUAUUUUUAGGCUGCUGCACAAUGACUAACGUGCUUUCCUUUCAGACAUUUGCUGGGUGGGGAUGGAACCCUUGGGUGUGCAAAGAACGGACAGAGACAAAUACUCUGAGAAAGCCACAGGCUUGUGGUACGUGUGCUGCUGCUGUCACAGCUCUCUUGCUGUGCCUGCUGCCAGGGAGCUUGCUGCUGCCCCCGGCGGCAGGCCGCUCAGCGCUGAUGAAAACCCAGCUCCUCGGGAAUGCUGGGAAUGUUGAGUCAGGGACUGGCAGCCCAGACAGGCAGGCUCGCAGCUGGCUGAGGGACACUCACUGAGGGACAGAAAGACGAGGGACAGGAGCACAUGAGCCUCCCCCGAUUGCAGCAGGUCUUUUUUUGCUCCAGCUCUCCGCGCUGCUGCCUUCCUCUGCGCAGAUGAGAUGUCAGCUAAACGUGAUGUUGUAAAAUCCAUGUGAGGACGAAGAGACAGAUGCAAUGAUUUGAAAGGUUUUUGAGUUUGAAGGAAUAAUAGAUUUUUGCCUACGAGAAGAAUGCAGUGAAACUGCCAAUAUUUCUAGCUGGAAUUAUAGAUUUGAUAUUCAACUUUAGUGUUACUCCUUUCUUAUUGAAUAGUACCUCAAAGUAGAAGAAAAAUGUAUGGAAGCGCAAGAACAAUCAGCAACUUAGAAGGAAGUCCCUCUAGGUCUCCUCGUUUGCCAAGAUCUCCUCGCCUGGGCCACAGGCGAACAAAUAGCGGAGGAGGAGGAGGAACAGGUAAGACGCUGUCAAUGGAGAACAUCCAGUCCCUUAAUGCAGCCUAUGCAACAUCUGGACCAAUGUAUCUGAGUGACCACGAAGGUGUAGCUUCUACUACUUUCCCAAAGGGCACAAUGACUCUUGGAAGGGCUACAAAUCGAGCUGUAUAUGGUGGUCGAGUCACAGCUAUGGGGAGCAGUCCUAAUAUUGCUUCAGCUGGACUUUCCCACACAGAUGUCCUUUCUUAUACUGAUCAGCAUGGAGGUCUGACCACAUCUUCACACCAUCAUCACCAUCAGGUUCCUUCAAUGCUGAGACAAGUUAGAGAUAGUACUAUGUUAGACCUGCAGGCUCAGCUUAAGGAACUACAGAGGGAGAAUGAUCUUCUCAGAAAAGAACUAGAUAUUAAGGACAGCAAGCUGGGAUCCUCCAUGAAUAGCAUCAAAACUUUCUGGAGUCCUGAGCUAAAGAAAGAGAGAGUAUUGAGGAAAGAAGAAGCAGCCAGAAUGUCAGUUCUUAAAGAGCAAAUGAGAGUUUCCCAUGAAGAAAAUCAGUUUUUGGAUGCCAGGAGAACAAAGCAUCUGCAAAUGACAAUCCAGGCACUUCAGGAUGAGCUUAGAACCCAGAGAGACCUUAACCACCUUCUCCAGCAAGAAAGUGGAAAUCGAGGAGCUGAGCAUUUUACUAUUGAGCUCACAGAGGAGAAUUUUCGAAGACUUCAAGCAGAACAUGAUAGACAGGCUAAAGAACUCUUCCUCUUGAGAAAAACUCUGGAAGAAAUGGAGUUGAGGAUUGAAACACAAAAGCAAACACUAAAUGCUAGAGAUGAAUCAAUAAAAAAGCUUUUGGAAAUGUUGCAAAGUAAAGGUUUACCAUCGAAAGGAAUAGAAGAUGACAAUGAGAGAACUCGAAGGAUGGCAGAGGCAGAAUCUCAGGUUAAUCAUUUAGAAGUGAUUUUAGACCAGAAGGAGAAGGAAAAUAUACAUCUUAGAGAGGAAUUACAUAGAAGAACCCAACUACAGCCUGAGCCAGCGAAGACAAAAGCUCUUCAAACAGUUAUUGAAAUGAAGGAUACAAAAAUAGCUUCACUUGAGCGCAAUAUAAGAGAUCUUGAAGAUGAGAUACAGAUGUUAAAGACAAAUGGAGUUCUGAAUACAGAGGACCGAGAAGAAGAAAUCAAACAAAUAGAGGUUUACAAGAGUCACUCGAAGUUCAUGAAAAAUAAGAUUGACCAACUGAAACAAGAACUCUCGAAGAAAGAAUCAGAACUUCUUGCCUUACAAACUAAGCUUGAAACCCUUAGCAAUCAGAAUUCAGAUUGCAAGCAACACAUUGAAGUGCUUAAAGAGUCACUUACUGCCAAAGAACAGAGAGCUGCCAUACUUCAGACAGAGGUUGAUGCCUUGAGGUUACGAUUGGAAGAAAAAGAAACCUUUCUCAAUAAAAAAACAAAACAACUGCAAGACCUCACAGAAGAGAAAGGAACCCUGGCUGGAGAGAUUCGAGAUAUGAAAGAUAUGUUGGAAGUAAAAGAAAGAAAAAUUAAUGUUCUUCAGAAAAAGAUUGAAAAUCUACAGGAACAACUUAGGGACAAAGACAAACAACUAACCAACCUAAAAGACAGAGUGAAAUCAUUGCAGACGGAUUCUAGUAACACAGACACAGCUCUAGCAACCUUAGAAGAAGCCCUGUCAGAGAAGGAAAGAAUAAUAGAGCGCUUGAAGGAGCAAAGGGAGCGAGAUGACAGAGAAAGACUUGAAGAAAUCGAAUCUUAUAAAAAAGAAAAUAAAGACCUGAAGGAGAAAGUUAAUGCUUUACAAGCUGAACUGACAGAAAAAGAGUCUAGUUUAAUCGAUCUCAAAGAACAUGCAUCUUCAUUGGCAUCAGCAGGGCUGAAAAGAGACUCCAAACUUAAGUCUUUAGAAAUAGCCAUAGAACAAAAGAAAGAAGAGUGUAGUAAAUUGGAAGCACAGUUGAAAAAGCAAGCUGAACAGUUGUUCAAUCAGAUGUACAAUCCAAUGCCAAUUAGGAAUAAUGGGAAGCAAGGGGCUCACGAAGCUGAAGAGGAGGCACGGAUGAAUCCAGAAUUUGCGGACAGGAUGAAACAACUUGACAAAGAGGCUUCAUACUAUAGAGAAGAAUGUGGCAAAGCUCAGGCUGAGGUUGACAGACUUCUAGAAAUACUCAAGGAAGUAGAGAACGAGAAGAAUGACAAAGAUAAGAAAAUUGCUGAGUUAGAAAGCUUGACUUCCAGACACAUGAAGGACCAAAACAAGAAGGUUGCCAAUCUGAAGCACAAUCAGCAAAUGGAGAAAAAGAAGAAUGCACAGUUGUUGGAAGAAGUUCGUAGACGAGAGGACAAUAUGACGGACAACUCUCAACAUUUACAAGUAGAAGAACUGAUGAAUGCACUGGAAAAGACUAGACAAGAAUUAGAUUCUACCAAAGCCCGUCUUGCCUCAACACAGCAGUCUUUGGCUGAAAAGGAAGCACAUCUGGCUAACCUAAGAAUAGAGCGGAGAAAACAGCUUGAAGAAAUUCUAGAAAUGAAACAGGAAGCAUUGCUUGCUGCAAUUAGUGAAAAAGAUGCAAACAUUGCCUUGCUUGAACUCUCUGCUUCAAAGAAAAAGAAAACUCAGGAGGAAGUCAUGGCUCUUAAACGAGAGAAGGACAGAUUAGUACAUCAGUUAAAACAGCAGACACAAAACAGAAUGAAACUGAUGGCAGAUAACUAUGAUGAUGAUCAUCACCACUACCACCACCACCACCACCACCACCACCACCGAUCUCCUGGGAGGCCUCAACACUCCAACCACAGACCCUCUCCAGACCAGGAUGAUGAGGAGGGUAUAUGGGCAUAGCCGUUCCUAUAAACCAAAGUUCCAGUUUUGUUUUGAGGGAUGAUCCGGUCACUGUUGGAGGCACAUAGCCACGGCAAAAUCUCAUGCUGUACAUUGAUCACCUGUCCAACCUUUGCCUAGAGUGUGAUCCCCAGUUCCUUCAAGAGAUCCAUCUUUACCUGUCUAUAAAGAAGAAGAGGAGGAGGGAGACAUCUGGGAUAUUCAAGUAUCAAAGUUUAACACCAGAGCAGUUGUCAGAGGAGCUAGCGAAAGAGGAAGAAAAAAAUGCAUCACUGGAGUGUUACAACGAUAAUCUAUUGCAUUGGAUCUCCAAACGUGACCAUGAUAUCCCGGAGAAGAUCACAGAUGCAGAAAAGGAAUGCUGAGGUUGAUAUCUAAUGAAAUGUUGCAUUAAUUGGCAUCUUCUCCCUUAUUUCUUGUAGUCUAUCAUGAAAUUAGGUACUUUGGAAAAUAAUGAAGGAGACUGAAGCGGAAAUUACAAAAGCUUCAUUUCUGCCUUUAGUGGGUCUUGUAAGUUAUUCUGUUUUCACAAAGAAACCAUCUCUUUAGAGUAUUAUUGUUUAAUGAAGUUCAGUUAAACAGGUUUUCUAACUAAUUUGGGGUAAAUUGAUAUUGAUUUUUAAUAGGUAAUUCACAUUCUUUUAGGUGUGGUAUCUGCAUUUGCUGAUUUUACCUAGUAUAUUCUAAAGGAUCACCUCUAUUGCACUAGAUUAUCAGAAAGGUAUUAGUAAAAUGUUAUAUAAGGGUGUCGGCACUAAUCUUACCCCCAGUUAGAUGUGGGCUUUUCCAAAAUUAAAACCGAGCCUUUACCCUCCUCUGUUUUCUUAUAUCUACUGAUAAAAUAAUAAUUAAAAAAUAACAUUGAUAGUUUAACCGGUAUUAAGCUCUGGGCCAGGUUGGAAAUGAAAUCAAUUUUUGGUACUAAUAACUGAUGGCAAAGAUUAGCUUUAAGAAAAUACGGUGUGUGUCUCUGACAAUGCAUAGGACAUCUAAUUUGAUCAUAAAUAUAAGAUAAUGUACAAGAUGUAUCUAUUGCUGGAUGGUAAAAGCUUGAGGAUUAUAUAAAUACAUAUGUAUAUAUAUGGACACAUACACAAGGAUGUAUCAACCUUUUACCAUCCAAAUACAUACAGGUUUUAAAUGAUAAAAACUGGGACUCAUUAAAAAAUAAAAAAUAAAGAUAAAAUUGCUGUGACUACAGUAUAUGCACUAGGUCUCCUGUAAAUGAGGAACUGUUUGUUAUUGUUUUCUGUAUUGAAAAACAGUCUUCAUCAUGUAUCCCAAUGAAUUUUAGAUGAUAAAGAAGAAAAUACCAAUGAACAAAUAGCAAUUAAAGGCUGUUUGCAUCCACAAAAUAUAUCUAGUAAAAUAAAAGUAAAGCACAUGCAAGGAAAAAUAGAAAUGUGAAGUCAUUACAUUCAGUGAGAGAAUAUAACUGAUAGUCAAAUGUCUAUCGCUUCUCAAGGAGAGGAUCCUUGUGACUCCACGAACAUUUUCAGUCAGUCUGGCAAACGUGCAAAUGUUUGGCUGUUUUAUUGAGGCAUCUUUUUGUCCAUGGAAGAAAUACUUCUGUGCUGAUGUGAGUGGGAAUGGAAUAUCUGCAUUUUUAAAGGACAAACAAUAAAUUUAAGCAUGGGUGGCCUUAAUUCUUAGUAGUUUUUCUUUGCUGCUGUAAAAAGAAAAUAUCUAAAUGGAUAUUCCUAAAGUCUUGCACUGAAUUUAGAAAAAGUAUUUUUUGAAACUGUGGUGCAAUUAACCCUAAUCAUCCUACAUGAGCCAUACAUAUAGUAACCCCUUUAAAAUGAUUGUCUAGAGAUGAUAUUUUAUGUAUUUGUACCAUAAUUCUUGGUGCAAUCAAAGAGCAACUUAUUCAAGCAGGAGUCCUGCUGGAUGCUACUGUCUUCAGUAAAUAGAAUAAAAUGUAUAGAAUUAGUAUAGCAUUGAUAAUCCAAAUUUCAUUCAUGUUUAAAAAGUUUGUCCUUUAACUAUCAAUCAGUGGUGUUUUAGAUCUUUGUUUUUGAAACAGCAAAGCUCUUGGGAGUUUAUUUAGCACAUAUGACAAAUGUUGCACUUGGAAACUCAGACAACAAAACUAGUUUCUCAUGACAAAUUUGUUGUCGUAGUAGGAGACAAUCGUCUGUGUCUCUUACAAUCAGGUCUCUACCUUAACUCUGCAACUGAAUACUUGAAGUAGGAAAUAAACUAGGGGAAAAUAGGGUCACAGAUACAAAGCUGUAUAGUUAGAUAUUUAUAUGUAUGUGCCAAUUUUGUCACAGAUAUUAUUUUAGGGGCAUUUUUGCUCCACUCAUGUUGGUAAGAGUAUUGAUCUAAACUUUUAUCAGGGCCUACAAUUUAGCCCCUAAUGAGGAAAAUUUUGUGUAACAUUGCUUUUUUUUUCUUUCAUUUCAUGUGAUACUCUAUGAUGUUUGGAGAAAAUCUUUUCAUAUACUAAAAUAGAAUCUCGGGGUUUACAAUAAACACUGUGAUGUUGGGAGAAUAUUUUAUUUGAGCGAUGUUUGGUAGUUUUUUUUUCCCCCUCUAAGUAUAAAGAAGUAAACCAAAUUUUGGUUAACAUUUAAGAUAAUGAAUAUUAUUUUAAUGUGAGAUCAGUCUUGUACUACACAUUCUUUCUUUCAUUUAAAUGUACAGUAUGAAUUUUGUAUUUAAUGAAUUUUGUGUAUCUAGUAUGCACGUACCUGCACAUUGACUUUCAUUUGAAAGUGGGUUUCAAUUUACUUUUUAAACAGUGUUUAUGAAAAGACCUCAGAUGUGUUGACACAAACUAUAUCUGCAAUGUUUUUUUUUUGUGUAGAGUGAUGUUUGAAUGUGAUGUUCUGCAACAAUGGGUCAGUAUUCCCUAUUUAUCUUAGGUCUUCAUUUGAUAGUGCUUCUUGUAAUAUUCUUUUUGAAGUGAGUGGCAUGUUCUGGAUUGUAAUAUUGAUAUGUGGUUAAGGACAUUGAUAUGAAACUAAGGAAUUCCUAGAAAUUACCAGUCGGCAUGUAGUAGACAGUCAUUUGUAAUUUAAUGUCUAGUAGAAGUGUAAAGUACCAAGGUAUUUAGAGUUCAUAACAUUGUUAUCACGUGUAUGGGAAGUAUUUAGUGUUGAUCAGCUUGUUUAUAUUCAUCAAAUAAACUUUGUUUCUUUCUGAAA